CAUAAUAGUGCAAUAUCUUUGCAAUAAUGGCACUUGUAUUGUAUCCACAGUAUUUCCUAAAUAAGUUUCAAAUAAAAUGCAUUCUUCUAUUUGGAGCUUAUUCUUUUCAGGGCUGCAGAUGUUUUAUUAUGUGAUCAGGUUGAAAUCUUACAAGAAAGCUGAAAUUGUGGAAAUGAUGAAGAAAGGCCAUUUACUGGGCAUUGCACCUGGUGGAGGUAGAGAAGCACUGUAUAGUCACGAUUACUGCAUAACGUGGGGUAAACGCACAGGUUUUGCUCAGGCAGCUUUGGAGGCGAAAGUGGUGAGUGAUCUUUGUGCAAUCUGCAUUGCCUUCACGAUUAUCCUAGAUAAGACGUAAUGUGUUGACAUCCUUGAUCCAGCAUCCAAAAAAGCUGAGGAUGGCAAAUAUCCUGUUUGGGGGUCAAAUGACAUCUGGAGUGCCACAGGUCUCCCCACCCCUGCUUUAAAACAAACCUACUGAAAUUGGUGAUGUUUAAAAAGAAAACCUGCGUUUUCCUUUUAUCUUUCUUUUUUAUAUAUAAUUUUAUUUUAAAAAAUUGUUUUACUGUUUAAAAUAUUCAUUUUACAUCCUUAAGAUAUCAACGACUUCGUUUCUUCUCCUUUGAUAGUUCAUUUUACAUAUCAUAAAUCCCUGCAUAUUUUACAAAAACUAUACUAUGUAUAGUAUUCCAUUAUUGAAUCCAUCAAAACAUAUUACACUGAAGAAUUUAUCUUAAUGCUGCCAGUCAUCAUCUAUUUCAAGAUCCUUCUCAUAAUACAGUGGUGCCCCGCAAGACGAAUGCCUCGCAAGACGGAAAAACCGCUAGACGAAAGGGUUUUCCGUUUUGAAGUUGCUUCGCAGGACGAAUUCCCCUAUGGGCUUGCUUCGCAAGACGAAAAUACCUUACGAGUCUUGAGAUUUUUUUUCGCUUUUCCCCCCCCUUUAUCUAAUCUGCUAAGCCUUUAAUAGCCUUUAAUAGCCUUUUAGCAGCUAAUCCCCUAAGCCUUUAAGCCUUUAAUAGCCGCUAAACAGCUGAUAGCGCUAAUAGCGCUAAUCCGUCAAUGGGCUUGCUUCGCAAGACGAAAAAACCGCUAGACGAAGACUCUUGCGGAACGGAUUAAUUUCGUCUUGCGAGGCACCACUGUAUGUCUGGAGCACUCAGUCUUUGAUAUUUCUAGAAUAAAAAAAGAACCAUACAAUCUCCUGGAAAUGUUUUCUUCUUAGCAUACGGGGAUUUAACCCUGAAAGCAUGAUCAAGAGCUUGAUGUACCUCCUACUUUUGAGUCUCAAGAAGAUUUGCAAGUGCCUCAAUUAUUUUAUCCCUUAUUGCUUCACCAGAUUGCUGAGCAAUAGAUCUAAAUCAUAAAAGUAUCUCUUUUUGCCUCAAUUCAAUUAAAGCCAAAUUGUCUGCCAAUAGUUCCUGAGAUGCUAUAGCUCCCGCCAGUUGAAUCCAGGGGGGAGGAGUAUAAAAGUUUGAAUGCUUUUUCUUGAAAAGAAAGUUUUCAAAGUUCUUAUCCCCCUGUCCCCUUCCUUUUAUUUCCAAUGGCAGACUUUCUUUGUUUCCUUCAAUGCUUCAGCCAUCUGGUUCCCAUGCAGGAUAGUCACCAAUUCUAGAGAAGACUCCCCUUUUGUUCUCCUGGAAGUUCACCAAAUUAAUCCAAAUGCUAAAGACACUUGAGUAAUAAAUCUCUCUUUCUUUGGUUUUAUUUUCUGGGAAAUCUGCUAAUCAAAAACUUGACCUGAUUGAGCAAAACCAAUGUGAUUUUUGGAUUCAGUGCAUCAGAUUCGUCCUAAAUCAACUGAAAAAACGCAGACAACAAAUUUGUUGUUGACCAGUGUAAUAAAUCCCUUUUUCCUUGGUUUUAUUAUCUGGAGCCCAGAGAUUACAGCUUGACAGCUGGGUUAGGCCAGGACCAAAUGGAACCUCAGACCCAUUGGGAACUCGCUUUUGACCUACACAGGAGCCCUCAGAGUCCUGGUCAUCCCCAAGACCUUUUUGGGGUGCUCAUUGCCUAUGGGCUGCCGCCAAACUCCAAAAUGCAGCGGCCAGUUGGCUGAACCUGGAUUCCUUUCCCCCUCAGGGCAAACCAGGAAAUUCUUUUUUCCCCUUCAAUUCCUGAAAAUCUGGAGGACAGCUUCUGAAUUUCUUCAUCUGAGAUAUUUGAAUAAAUGUGUCAGGAAUUUUAAAGCCAAUUACAUUAUCAUUUAUGAGUUGCUUCUCAUUAUAAUCUCAGAUGUGAAGCAUUCUUCAUAGUCCAUAACAAAAAUAAAGGCAGGAUGGUUGGGGCAAAAUAAUUAUCCAAUCCUCACCUUUCUUUUCAUGUUCGUUUCAACAUUUAUAUUUUAGACCAUCAUCCCUAUUUUUACACAAAACAGUUGUGAAGCAUACAGGACCAUUGGAAAGACAAGUAAGUUAAAUACCUUGGUUAAUCAAGAGAUCUCAGGCAAUAUACAUUUUAAUACAAUAGAAUGAUCUUUUAAAAAGAAUAUUUACUACUCAUGAAUAGAUUUUAUAGGGACAUGGGUGGCGCUGUGGGUUAAACCACAGAGCCUAGGACUUGCCGAUCAGAAGGUCGGCAGUUCGAUUCCCCGUGACAGGGUGAGCUCCCAUUGCUUGGUCCCUGCUCCUGCCAACCUAGCAAUUCGAAAGCACGUCAAAGUACAAGUAGAUAAAUAGGUACCGCUCCAGCGGGAAGGUAAACUGCGUUUCCAUGCAGUGCUCUGGUUCGCCAGAAGUGGCUUAGUCAUGCUGGCCACAUGUCCUGGAAGCUGUCUGCGGACAAACGCCGGCUCCCUCGGCCAAUAAAGCGAGAUGAGAGCCGCAAUCCCAGAGUCGGUCACGACUGGACCUAAUGGUCAGGGGUCCCUUUACCUUUACUUAAUAGAUUUUAUUCCAUGUCCACUUAUCUGCAAAAGCUGUGCUGCCUGCCUCAGUACUGAGUGAACAUGCCCUUGCUUAGUUUUCUAGUAGAUUUGACAGAAAGCUAUAAUCGAUAAAUGUGGAGCAACCCUAACAUGGAGGGGAACUGAACAGGAAACAUACCAUAUUCUGCAGUCUAUUGUACACAACUUAUGACUGAUUGCAAAGAGCUGAGAAGAGCUGACUGAAUAUCUUGUACAGUGGUACCUCAGGUUAAGUACUUAAUUGGUUCCAGAAGUCUGUACUUAACCUGAAGCGUUCUUAAUCUGAAGCGGACUUUCCCAUUGAAAGUAAUGGAAAGUGGAUUGAUCCGUUCCAGAUGAUGAAAAAAUACCCCCUAAAAUAGCAAUUUAACACAAAUUUUACUGUUUCACGAGACCAUUGUUCCAUAAAAUGAAGGCAAUAAUCAAUGUACUGUACUAUAAAAUAAAUAAGACAGUAUUUUAGAUGAAAAGAAUUAAAAUUUAUUUCCAAACUUACUGUUUGGAGGGGCUCAGGGUCCUCUUCCACAAUCACAAUCGGCUUGGCUUCCGGCAUUCAUGGAGGCCUCAGAGAGCUCCUGGAGCCCAGUCGCAGAGCCUCUGCAGCCACCAUGGAUGUCAGGGCUUGGCUCCUGGCAUUCGAGGAGCCGCUCUAGGCACCGCGGAUGUCGGGGCUUGGUUACCCCCAUUCGUGGAGCCGCUCUAGGCAUCGCAGAUGUCGGGGGUUGGUUCCCUGUAUUCGCGGAGGCCUCUGACAGCUCCGUAGGCUCUGCCGAUGUCUGGGUCUGACUCCAGGCAAUGUCCUCAGAGAGCUUGGAAAACUUACUUCCGGGUUACAAUCCUUCAUAACCCGAAAAAACGUAAGUUGAAGCGCUCGUAACCCGAGGUACCACUGUAUCUCUUUUCCCAAGCACUCAUAUUAUUUAACUCUUCCUUUCUUACUAUUUAUUGCAAUUGCUAAACACUGAGAAUGUCAACUAAUUUCAGAUUUGAUAUGGUGUCGCUUUCCUUCAGAAUCUUCUUCCAUUUCAUACACAGGGCUGACAAAAUGGCUGUAUGAGAAAACUCGAUGUAUGGUCCUUCCCUUUUACGGAGGGUUUCCAGUGAAAUUGAGGACAUUUAUUGGAGAACCCAUCCCAUAUGAUCCAAAUAUAACAUCUGUAGAGCUGGCUGAAAGAG